CCCUGCUCUCCCCCACAGAAACCCGGGGGAAGGCAGACCUUCUUAGAGCCAUUUCAGGCAGCCAGGCUGUCAGAAUGAUGAGUUCUACAGCCUAGCAGCUGAACCAAAGAAGAAAAAAGUCCCAACAAGCCCCAUUUCACUGCCCUUGACCUUGCAGUAGAGCUCUAAGUGAAAAAUCUGUCAUCUAUUAAUCUGUUAGAAGUUGACAAAAGGGACUUUGAUCAGAGGUUGUUUUUCCCCCCUUCUUAAGUUUCCUGAUGACACAUAAUAGCCCAUUUCAGCCGGAGGGCCGGAAGCACGGCCCUCAUUCUGCUCACUUCAACCCCAGUGGCCUCCCGCCCCGUGGCUUUCUCCCCACCCCAAUAUUAAUUGGCCUGUCUUGAUGUCUCCCACCACCAUCCCUGCUCCAUCCCCAUCAUGUUCCUCUGCAUGAGGCCGCCGACACGGCAGCCCAGCUCUUGGAACCAUGAAAUUCACAGCCAAGAGAAGCCUCAAGGAUCCCCGAACUGUAGCUUCUGGUUUUAAAGGAAUUAAAAGCCUCGGAGUGGGGGGAAUGUUUUUUAAUAAAAAUAACAUUUGCUGAGGGGUUAUUGUGUACACAUUUCUUACAUAUGUGUUCUCUUGUUUCAUCCUCAAAAUAACUCUGUGAGU
rnacentral:lncRNA from 1 species